CCGGUAAUCACAACACUUUGGGAGGUUGAAGCAGGAGGAUGGCUCAAGGCCAAGAGUUUGAGACAGGUCUCAGAAAUCAAGGGAAUCACCAUCCCUACAGAAAUAUACAUGAAUUAGCCUAGUGUGGUGGCAUGUUCUUGUAGUCCCAGCUACUUGGGAGGCUGAGGUGGGAGGAUCACUUGAGCCCAGGGAGGCUUAGACUGCAGUGAGUCAUGAUCAGGCCUCUGCACUCCAGCC
rnacentral:lncRNA from 10 species